rnacentral:rRNA from 1 species
GUGUCAGCAGCCGCGGUAAUACAGAGGUCUCAAGCGUUGUUCGGAUUCAUUGGGCGUAAAGGGUGCGUAGGUGGCUUGGUAAGUUGAAGGUGAAAUCUCGGAGCUCAACUCCGAAACUGCCUUCAAUACUGCCGAGCUGGAGGACUGUAGAGGAGAAUGGAAUUCACGGUGUAGCAGUGAAAUGCGUAGAUAUCGUGAGGAAGACCAGUGGCGAAGGCGAUUCUCUGGGCAGUUCCUGACACUGAGGCACGAAGGCCAGGGGAGCAAACGGGAUUAGAUACCCCGGUAGUCC